CCUACGGGAGACAGCAGUGGGGAAUAUUGCACAAUGGGGGAAACCCUGAUGCAGCGACGCCGCGUGAGUGAAGAAGUAAUUCGUUAUGUAAAGCUCUAUCAGCAGGGAAGAAAAUGACGGUACCUGACUAAGAAGCCCCGGCUAACUACGUGCCAGCAGCCGCGGUAAUACGUAGGGGGCAAGCGUUAUCCGGAUUUACUGGGUGUAAAGGGAGCGUAGACGGUGAUGCAAGUCCGGAGUGAAAGCCCGGGGCUCAACCCCGGGACUGCUGUGGAAACUGUGGGGCUGGAGUGCAGGAGGGGUAAGCGGAAUUCCUGGUGUAGCGGUGAAAUGCGUAGAUAUCAGGAGGAACACCAGGGGCGAAGGCGGCUUACUGGACCGUAACUGACGUUGAGGCUCGAAAGCGUGGGGAGCAAACAGGAUUAGAUACCCGAGUAGUC
rnacentral:rRNA from 1 species